UACGUAGGGUGCAAGCGUUGUCCGGAAUUAUUGGGCGUAAAGGGCUCGUAGGCGGUCCGUCACGUCGGGAGUGAAAUCCUGGGGACUUAACCCCAGAACUGCUUCCGAUACGGGCAGACUAGAGAUAGGUAGGGGAGAAUGGAAUCCUGGUGUAGCGGUGGAAUGCGCAGAUAUCAGGGGGAACACCGAGUGGCGAAGGCGGUUCUCUGGGCCUUACCUGACGCGUG
rnacentral:rRNA from 1 species